GUGGUGAGAUACCGAAUCGGCGAUAUGUCUGACAGGCAGAUAUAUCGGGGGCGACCUUUAAAGGUACAGUUAAUUCUGCGGUCGGUUAGCCAAACCGACUUGACACCCCGCUAAACCUGAACUGAUUGCGUUACCCUGACGCACAGGUACUCACUCA
ncrna:Escherichia coli O26:H11 str. 11368 EFASI RNA